rnacentral:rRNA from 1 species
AAAGCAUCGGCGUGUCAACCGGCCCGCCCGUCCCCUCCUUCUGGAUUCCCGUUCCUGCUAUUGAGUUAGUGGGGACGUCACAGGGGGUCCAUCGUCGCCAUGCAAAUGGCGGCGGUGGGUCUCUGGGGCCCAGAUCGUUUACCGUGAAAAAAUUAGAGUGUUCAAAGCAGGCAGAUCCAAUUUUCUGCCACCGAAUACAUUCAUGGGAUAAUGGAAUAGGACCCUGUCCUCCUAUUUUCAGUUGGUUUUGGCAGCGCGAGGACUAGGGUAAUGAUUAAUAGGGAUAGUUGGGGGCAUUAAUAUUUAAUCGUCAGAGGUGAAAUUCUUGGAUUUAUGAAAGAUUAACUUUGCGAAAGCAUCUGCCAAGGAUGUUUUCAUUAAUCAAGAACGAAAGUUAGGGGAUCGAAGACGAUCAGAUACCGUCGUAGUCUUAACCAUA